GAUGAACGCUGGCGGCGUGCCUAAUACAUGCAAGUCGAGCGAACAGACGAGGAGCUUGCUCCUCUGACGUUAGUGGCGGACGGGUGAGUAACACGUGGAUAACCUACCUAUAAGACUGGGAUAACUUCGGGAAACCGGAGCUAAUACCGGAUAAUAUAUUGAACCGCAUGGUUCAAUAGUGAAAGACGGUUUUGCUGUCACUUAUAGAUGGAUCCGCGCCGCAUUAGCUAGUUGGUAAGGUAACGGCUUACCAAGGCAACGAUGCGUAGCCGACCUGAGAGGGUGAUCGGCCACACUGGAACUGAGACACGGUCCAGACUCCUACGGGAGGCAGCAGUAGGGAAUCUUCCGCAAUGGGCGAAAGCCUGACGGAGCAACGCCGCGUGAGUGAUGAAGGUCUUCGGAUCGUAAAACUCUGUUAUUAGGGAAGAACAAAUGUGUAAGUAACUAUGCACGUCUUGACGGUACCUAAUCAGAAAGCCACGGCUAACUACGU
rnacentral:rRNA from 1 species